rnacentral:sRNA from 1 species
AAAAUACAAAACUUACCCAGGCGUGGUGGCGCACGCAUGUAAUCCCAACUACUCGGGAGGCUGAGGCACGAGAAUUGCUUGAACCUGGGAGGCGGAGGUUGCAGUGAGCCAAGAUCGCACCACUGCACUCCAGCCUGGGUGACAGAGUGGAGACUGACUCACAGAAAAAAAAAGAAAUCUCACUCUCACAUCUCACCAGAGGUCUUGCCAGCCUACAGGUCCAUUUCCCUUCUUGGUCUUACGUCUCAGGGUCUAAGAGACAGGUAAAUAAAUCAUUAAAGAAUGAUUUAUCUGAUAGUUCAGGGGCCACAGUAAGAUAAUUUUUCAGGCUGAGCAUGGUGGCUCAUGCCUGUAAUCCAGCAUUUUGGAAGGCCAAGAUGAGGAUCACUUGAGGCCAGGAGUUUGAGACCAGCCUGGGCAACAUGGCAAGACCCCCAUCUCUAUGAAAAAUAGAGAUAAAAAGAAGAAAUAAAAGAAGUGUGCCCCUUUCCCACUGAGCAAAAGCAUCCUCCCGAGGACCCCAGGUGUGUUUUGAGUGUCAAUUCUGGCCGGGUGCUGUGGUGUAGCCAUGAUCCACAACACAGUCCUUGUCCACAAGGAAGUUAAAAUCUUAAGGAAAGCGAGACUGUUGUGGUCCAGCUGCACAUGCCUGUGCAUUGAGACCUAAAGCUCAUAGAGAUGCUCACUCUAGGGGACCAUCACAGUUUGGCCCCUGCCACCCUCCAACAUCACCAAAACCACUGUUGUUGCAAUUGGGGAACUCCCUGACAACUGUUGGACAGAUACCACAUGCCAAGACCCAGAAGAGACAAAUUAGUGUUUUUAGCUAUGUUGUGAGUUCUCAAAGAGCUUACAACCUGAUCAGGAGAUGAGAAGUACUUCAAGUAGUAAAUGGUCAUUGGGAAAUGCAAA